UACGUAGGGGGCGAGCGUUGUCCGGAUUCAUUGGGCGUAAAGAGCGCGCAGGCGGUCGUUCAAGUCGAGUGUGAAAGCCCCCGGCUCAACUGGGGAGGGUCACUCGAUACUGAUCGACUCGAAGGCAGGAGAGGGUAGUGGAAUUCCCGGUGUAGUGGUGAAAUGCGUAGAUAUCGGGAGGAACACCAGUGGCGAAGGCGACUACCUGGUCUGUUCUUGACGCUGAGGCGCGAAAGCUAGGGGAGCAAACGGG
rnacentral:rRNA from 1 species